rnacentral:rRNA from 1 species
AAUUGGAUUGAGAACAACGUACAACUCUUAUCGAUAAGCCAUUGGAGGGCAAGUCUGGUGCCAGCAGCCGCGGUAAUUCCAGCUCCAAUAGCGUAUAUUAACGUUGUUGCAGUUAAAAAGCUCGUAGUUGAAGUGAGGGAGUGUGUGUUCAUGAGAGUUAGUCUCGAGUGUUCACAACCUCCCCCCUCCGAUCGGUGUAGUGGGGUAUUCAGUUAUUUCACCACUCCUUUGGUCGUUUACUGUGAGAAAAUUAGAGUGUUCAAAGCGGGCGUUUGUUUGAAUAGAUUAGCAUGGAAUAACGAUUGAAGGCUUUCGUGUUCGAUUUGAUUGGUUUGUUCAUGGAAGCAAGGUUAAAAGGAACAGUUGGGGGUAUUCAUAUUCACUAGUUAGAGGUGAAAUUCUCGGAUUUAUGGAAGAUGAACAGGUGCGAAAGCAUUUACCAAGGAUGUUUUCAUUAAUCAAGAACGAAAGCUAGGGGAUCGAAGAGGAUUAGAUACCCUCGUAGUCUUAGCUAUAAACGAUACCGACUAGGGGUUAGUAGAGGUCAAUGUGUCUCUAUUAGUACCUUAUGAGAAAUCAAAGUCUUUGGGUUCCGGGGGGAGUAUGGUCGCAAGGCUGAAACUUAAAGGAAUUGACGGAAGGGCACCACCAGGAGUGGAGCCUGCGGCUUAAUUUGACCAAACACGGGGAAACUUACCAGGUCCAGACAUAGGAAGGAUUGACAGAUUGAUAGCUCUUUCUUGAUUCCAUGGGUGGUGGUGCAUGGCCGUUCUUAGUUGGUGGAGUGAUUUGUCUGGCUAAUUCCGAUAACGAACGAGACCUCCGCCUUUAACUAGUGUUGGCUAUUGUGAUAGCUGAUACUUCUUGGAGGGACACUAUACGUAAAGUGUAGGGAAGCUGGAGGCAAUAACAGGUCUGUGAUGCCCUUAGAUGUUCUGGGCUGCACGCGCGCGACACUGAUCUAUUCAACGAGUGGCUGUGUCGAUAGACUUGGCAAAUCUUGUGAAAGUAGAUCGUGAUGGGGAUUGAUGCUUGUAAUUGUUCAUCAUGAACGAGGAAUUCCUAGUAAACGCAAGUCAUCAACUUGCAUUGAUUACGUCCCUGCCCUUUGUACACACCGCCCGUCGCACCUACCGAUUGAAUGGUCCGGUGAACACUUUGGAUUUUAGGCGAAUGAACUGUAAAAGGGGAGUUCGUUUGGGAGAAGUCGUGUAAAUCUUAUCAUUUAGAGGAAGGUGAAGUCGUAACAAGGUUUCCGUAGGAUCCUGCGGAAG